rnacentral:rRNA from 1 species
UACAUGGGGUGCAAACGUUGCUCGGAAUCAUUGGGCGUAAAGCGCGCGUAGGCGGUUACUUAUGUCGGAUGUGAAAGCCCUCGGCUUAACUGAGGAAGUGCAUUCGAAACUGGGUAGCUAGAGUACUAAAGAGGGUCGCGGAAUUCCCGGUGUAGAGGUGAAAUCGUAGAUAUCGGGAGGAACACCGGUGGCGAAGGCGGCGACCUGGGUAGAUACUGACGCUGAGGCGCGAAAGCGUGGGGAGCAACAGGG